rnacentral:rRNA from 1 species
UACGAAGGGGGCUAGCGUUGUUCGGAAUUACUGGGCGUAAAGGGCGCGUAGGCGGCCUUGAUAGUUGGGCGUGAAAGGCCUGGGCUUAACCCAGGAACUGCGUUCAAUACUGCGAGGCUAGAGUGUGGGAGAGGUUGGUGGAAUUCCCAGUGUAGAGGUGAAAUUCGUAGAUAUUGGGAAGAACACCGGUGGCGAAGGCGGCCAACUGGACCACAACUGACGCUGAGGCGCGAAAGCGUGGGGAGCAAACAGG